GACCAACAGGCCAAGUUCAAACAAAAAAAAGAUGGUCAAACAAGACCAAUUAUUCUAAAUAAAGAGCAGACUACAAAAGCUGAAAAGAAAUAAAGGAGUCUUCGUCUACUCCGAAACGCCAGCAGGAGAUCCCUAAUCUACAGCCUCUUCAGCGUCCAACUGAUCAGCCACGCUCUCAGCAGCUCCACAUGCCUAAUCUAUAACGUUUGCCAUCACCUCAUCAGCUGCAUCAUCCUCAUCUCCAUCCUCUUCAGCUACUGCCUCUUCAGCCACCUGCUCUUAAGCUUC
rnacentral:lncRNA from 1 species